AUUGAACGCUGGCGGCAUGCCUUACACAUGCAAGUCGAACGGUAACAGGGAGCUUGCUCCGCUGACGAGUGGCGAACGGGUGAGUAAAGUAUCGGAACGUACCUUUCAGUGGGGGAUAACGCAGCGAAAGUUGCGCUAAUACCGCAUAUUCUGUGAGCAGGAAAGCAGGGGAUCGCAAGACCUUGCGCUGAUUGAGCGGCCGAUAUCAGAUUAGCUAGUUGGUGAGGUAAAGGCUCACCAAGGCGACGAUCUGUAGCGGGUCUGAGAGGAUGAUCCGCCACACUGGUACUGAGACACGGUCCAGACUCCUACGGGAGGCAGCAGUGGGGAAUUUUGGACAAUGGGGGCAACCCUGAUCCAGCCAUGCCGCGUGAGUGAAGAAGGCCUUCGGGUUGUAAAGCUCUUUCAGCCGGGAAGAAAUCGCACAG
rnacentral:rRNA from 1 species